AACGAACGCUGGCGGCAGGCUUAACACAUGCAAGUCGAACGUACCUUUCGGGGUGAGUGGCAGACGGGUGAGUAACGCGUGGGAAUCUACCCUUCUCUACGGGAUAGCUCCGGGAAACUGGAAUUAAUACCGUAUACGUCCUGAGGGAGAAAGAUUUAUCGGGGAAGGAUGAGCCCGCGUUGGAUUAGCUAGUUGGUGGGGUAAAGGCCUACCAAGGCGACGAUCCAUAGCUGGUCUAAGAGGAUGAUCAGCCACAUUGGGACUGAGACACGGCCCAAACUCCUACGGGAGGCAGCAGUGGGGAAUAUUGGACAAUGGGCGCAAGCCUGAUCCAGCCAUGCCGCGUGAGUGAUGAAGGCCCUAGGGUUGUAAAGCUCUUUCAGUGGGGACGAUAAUGACGGUACCCACAGAAGAAGCCCCGGCUAACUUCGUG
rnacentral:rRNA from 1 species